AUGAAAGUCUGUCACACUUUGAUCUGCUUCUUCUUCCUCUCACUGUGGGAUGGAAACACUGGUCCCAUCAAAAAAGAAAUCCCUGUCCAUACACGAACUGAAGGAGGAAACAUUACAGUUAAAUGCUCCUUCUCUUCGUCUGGAAGCAGGAAGAUCUUCUUUCUGAAUGUGAGCAUCACAAACCUGACUAAGUCUGACUCGGGGCGGUACAGAUGUUGGUUGGACAGAAAACGGUCACCAGAUUCAACCAGGGACUUUGAGCUCAGAGUUGAAGAUGCUCCAACCACUUCAAAACCAAAGUGGAAAACCACCACCAAAGCACCUUUUACACCAUCAGUCCCAUCAGCCUCCACACCGACAACAACACAGACAACAGAGAGCUGCAGGUCCAGGUUUGCCGCUGUAUGUGAGUCUGACUCUGGUCGUCAUCAUCAUCGUAUUAUCAGCGGCUGUGCUGAUAUUCUGCAGGAAGAGGACCAGUAA
rnacentral:lncRNA from 15 species